AUUGAACGCUGGCGGCAGGCCUAACACAUGCAAGUCGAACGGCAGCACAGAAGAGCUUGCUCUUUGGGUGGCGAGUGGCGGACGGGUGAGUAAUGUCUGGGAAACUGCCCGAUGGAGGGGGAUAACUACUGGAAACGGCAGCUAAUACCGCAUAACGUCGCGAGACCAAAGUGGGGGACCUUCGGGCCUCACACCAUCGGAUGUGCCCAGAUGGGAUUAGCUAGUAGGUGGGGUAAUGGCUCACCUAGGCGACGAUCCCUAGCUGGUCUGAGAGGAUGACCAGCCACACUGGAACUGAGACACGGUCCAGACUCCUACGGGAGGCAGCAGUGGGGAAUAUUGCACAAUGGGCGCAAGCCUGAUGCAGCCAUGCCGCGUGUAUGAAGAAGGCCUUCGGGUUGUAAAGUACUUUCAGCGGGGAGGAAGGCGGUGAGGUUAAUAACCUCGCCGAUUGACGUUACCCGCAGAAGAAGCACCGGCUAACUCCGUGCCAGCCGCCGCCGUAA
rnacentral:rRNA from 1 species